rnacentral:misc_RNA from 1 species
GGUUGAUUCUGGUAACCCAUGUUACGCCAUUGUGCUAUUGUCAUUCCAUGGAAGAUGACCAAGCUAAAAUACGAAUCCAAUAAGAGAAUUCGGUCGGCCGCAAUUGAAGCUACAUCCAACAAUGCAGGUUGAGGCAAUGAGUUAAAUGAAUACGAUAUUAGUGAUGGUUGAAUCAUGACAGCAGCAUUGGUGAUGUUUUCUCGGUUUAACAACAUGCGGA